rnacentral:rRNA from 1 species
GGCGGCGUGCUUAACACAUGCAAGUCGAACGGUGAAGGGGAGCUUGCUCCCUGGAUCAGUGGCGAACGGGUGAGUAACACGUGAGCAACGUGCCCCAGACUCUGGGAUAACAGUUGGAAACAGCUGCUAAUACCGGAUACGAGACGUGGCCGCAUGGUCGACGUUUGGAAAGAUUUUUUGGUCUGGGAUCGGCUCGCGGCCUAUCAGCUUGUUGGUGAGGUAAUGGCUCACCAAGGCGUCGACGGGUAGCCGGCCUGAGAGGGUGACCGGCCACACUGGGACUGAGACACGGCCCAGACUCCUACGGGAGGCAGCAGUGGGGAAUAUUGCACAAUGGGCGAAAGCCUGAUGCAGCAACGCCGCGUGAGGGACGACGGCCUUCGGGUUGUAAACCUCUUUUAGCAGGGAAGAAGCGAAAGUGACGGUACCUGCAGAAAAAGCGCCGGCUAACUACGUGCCAGCAGCCGCGGUAAUACGUAGGGCGCAAGCGUUAUCCGGAAUUAUUGGGCGUAAAGAGCUCGUAGGCGGUUUGUCGCGUCUGCUGUGAAAUCCCGAGGCUCAACCUCGGGCCUGCAGUGGGUACGGGCAGACUAGAGUGCGGUAGGGGAGAUUGGAAUUCCUGGUGUAGCGGUGGAAUGCGCAGAUAUCAGGAGGAACACCGAUGGCGAAGGCAGAUCUCUGGGCCGUAACUGACGCUGAGGAGCGAAAGGGUGGGGAGCAAACAGGCUUAGAUACCCUGGUAGUCCACCCCGUAAACGUUGGGAACUAGUUGUGGGGUCCAUUCCACGGAUUCCGUGACGCAGCUAACGCAUUAA